CGUGUAGGCGGUGCGGUAAGUUGGGCGUGAAAUCCCCGAGCUUAACUCGGGUGGGCCGUUCAAGACUGCCGUGCUAGGGUGCGGGAGAGGGAAGUGGAAUUUCCGGUGUAGCGGUGAAAUGCGUAGAUAUCGGGAGGAACACCUGCGGCGAAGGCGGCUUCCUGGACCGUAACCGACGCUGAGGCGCGAAAGCUAGGGGAGCAAACAGGAUUAGAUACCCUGGUAGUCCUAACCCUAAACGAUGAGCACUGGGUGUGGCCCCUCACGAGGCCGUGCCGAAGCUAACGCAUUAAGUGCUCCGCCUGGGGAGUACGGUCGCAAGGCUGAA
rnacentral:rRNA from 1 species